rnacentral:rRNA from 1 species
AUUGAACGCUGGCGGCAUGCCUUACACAUGCAAGUCGAACGGUAACAGGUCUUCGGAUGCUGACGAGUGGCGAACGGGUGAGUAAUACAUCGGAACGUGCCCGAUCGUGGGGGAUAACGAGGCGAAAGCUUUGCUAAUACCGCAUACGAUCUACGGAUGAAAGCGGGGGAUCUUCGGACCUCGCGCGGACGGAGCGGCCGAUGGCAGAUUAGGUAGUUGGUGGGAUAAAAGCUUACCAAGCCGACGAUCUGUAGCUGGUCUGAGAGGAUGAUCAGCCACACUGGGACUGAGACACGGCCCAGACUCCUACGGGAGGCAGCAGUGGGGAAUUUUGGAUAAUGGGCGAAAGCCUGAUCCAGCCAUGCCGCGUGCAGGAUGAAGGCCUUCGGGUUGUAAACUGCUUUUGUACGGAACGAAAAGCCUCUUUCUAAUAAAGAGAGGUCAUGACGGUACCGUAAGAAUAAGCACCGGCUAACUACGUG